rnacentral:rRNA from 1 species
GGAAUAUUGGACAAUGGGCGGAAGCCUGAUCCAGCAACGCCGCGUGAGGGAUGACUGCCUUCGGGUUGUAACCCUCUUUCGGUGGGGACCAAGCGCAAGUGACGGUACCCACUAAAGAAGCACCGGCCACAUAAGUGCCAGCAGCCGCGGUAAUACGUAGGGUGCGAGCGUUGUCCGGAAUUAUUGGGAGUAAAGGGCUCGUAGGCGGUUUGUCGCGUCGGGAGUGAAAACGCCGUGCUUAACACGGCGCUUGCUUUCGAUACGGGCAGACUAGAGGUAUUCAGGGGAGAACGGAAUUCCUGGUGUAGCGGUGAAAUGCGCAGAUAUCAGGAGGAACACCGGUGGCGAAGGCGGUUCUCUGGGAAUGACCUGACGCUGAGGAGCGAAAGUGUGGGGAGCGAAC